AACGAACGCUGGCGGCAGGCCUAACACAUGCAAGUCGAACGGGCCCUUCGGGGUCAGUGGCAGACGGGUGAGUAACGCGUGGGAACGUGCCCUUCAGUUUGGGAUAACCCAGGGAAACUUGGGCUAAUACCGGAUACGUGCGAGAGCAGAAAGAUUUAUCGCUGAAGGAUCGGCCCGCGUCUGAUUAGCUGGUUGGUAGGGUAAUGGCCUACCAAGGCGACGAUCAGUAGCUGGUCUGAGAGGAUGAUCAGCCACAUUGGGACUGAGACACGGCCCAAACUCCUACGGGAGGCAGCAGUGGGGAAUAUUGGACAAUGGUCGCAAGCCUGAUCCAGCCAUGCCGCGUGAGUGAUGAAGGCCUUAGGGUUGUAAAGCUCUUUCAGUGGGGACGAUAAUGACGGUACCCGCAGAAGAAGCCCCGGCUAACUUCGUGCCAGCAGCCGCCGUAA
rnacentral:rRNA from 1 species